CUGGCCAAAUCAGGUUUAAAAAGUUUACUUUUCCUUCCCUUAGCAGUGGAACAUUUCCUCCAGCUGAAAUCCCGUAUAGAAGUCCAAUAUGUGAAACCAGUCAGAAGCAGCAACAAUCGCCAUCGUGCCAAAAUUCCGGAGUCCCACCCUCAAGAAAAGAGUCCUGCCUCAUAGGAGCUGCUGGAGGCUGCUGUGCAAACAGACACCCCACCGGAUGAUGCAACAUCUGCCCGAACAGGGCGUUUGCUGUCAAGCGGGGCGAGAUUCAUAGUUCUGGCCGCAAUAGCCUGUCCCACUGACAGGACCCCGAGGCCGUUCCAGCGGGAGGAGAGCCAAGGAGGCUGCGCUCGUGGACUUGACGUGUCUCGCAGGCCUGCUCCUAGAAUUUCAUCCCUUGCCGUCCCCGCUUCUCUCCCCCUCCAGCCCAGCGUGAACUUCACUUGGGCCAAAAAAUCAGCUGCAUGAGAACAGGAUGGAGCAGGCAGCUGGAGACACGAGUCAAUAAAGCCCGCGAAGGAAACCUCAGGAUUUUCCUAACUGUGAACUUAGCGAGAAGCAACAGCAGGAGCUCCAGAAACUUCCUUAGGUGACAUGGACUGGCGGGAAGAGGAGGAAACGAAAGAGCCAACAUUCAAAUGAAAUGAAAUUGCUUAGAGGUCUUCAAAUAAAUAGCUGGCUGGUGAAAAUAAAAUAAGUUUUUAAAAAAUUGAGAGCCAUUCUCCAGAUGCCUCAUUGCUGGCUGUAGUAUGGCCGGAUUGGUGGGUUGGUAUAAGGAUGGAGGGGAAAGCCUGACCUGAGAUCUCAGAGCAUCUGAUUCUGGUUUGCAAUUAACUCAGAAAUCCGCAGGAAGAGAUGCUAUGCCAUCCACGUCCAGCGCAUGGUGAAAUUUCAUUCUCAGAGCCCAGAACGUUAGAUGUAAAGCCAAGGAGAUAAUUCUCUUCCCUCAUUGCCUGCCAGAGGCCUCUCAAAAACAUCUUUUGAGCUUGAUUUUCUUUACUAUGGGUAAGAUCAGUGGCUAGGAUUAAAAUGAGGGACUUUUAAACAAGUUCCUGCACUGUUUUUAUUCCUGAAACUUUUCUACGUGGACCUUCUCUGUGCAAGCCGACGAGUUUGGGCAUCGAGACCAUAGGUGAACCAGCUUCACCAGCUACUGCUCCUCAGAACUUCCUGUCAUCCCAGGAGCUCGUCUGUCUCUGUUUUAAAUGCUUGAUAACUGAGCACAGGAAAGGGACCCAGAGCAGAGAAGCCUUCUGGCCUCAGAACUCAGCAGAACCAGGAUGUACAUGAGAGCAUCCCAGUUUAAAAAGCUACCCAGCCUCCCACAGUCCCUGACCUACCCCCAGCCCAGAGCUUAGUGUGUUCUCCAAAGCAUUUCCCCAGAAAUGACCCAUUUUGCAGCCUGACUCACUAGAAGGACUCU
rnacentral:lncRNA from 1 species